GAUGAACGCUAGCGGCAGGCCUAAUACAUGCAAGUCGAACGGGAUCCAGAUCAAAGCUUGCUUUGGUCUGGUGAGAGUGGCGCACGGGUGCGUAACGCGUGAGCAACCUACCCUUGUCAGGGGGAUAGCCCGGCGAAAGUCGGAUUAAUACCGCAUGACAUCAUUGAGAGGCAUCUUUCGAUGAUCAAAGAUUUAUCGGACAAGGAUGGGCUCGCGUGACAUUAGCUAGUUGGUAAGGUAACGGCUUACCAAGGCUGCGAUGUCUAGGGGCUCUGAGAGGAGAAUCCCCCACACUGGUACUGAGACACGGACCAGACUCCUACGGGAGGCAGCAGUAAGGAAUAUUGGUCAAUGGACGGAAGUCUGAACCAGCCAUGCCGCGUGCAGGAAGACGGCCCUAUGGGUUGUAAACUGCUUUUAUACGGGAACAAACGUCGGUACGUGUACCGGUCUGAGUGUACCGUAAGAAUAAGAAUCGGCUAACUCCGUG
rnacentral:rRNA from 1 species